UCGAUUCGUUGCUUUUAAAUUUUAAAUAUGGGAAGAGAAACAUUUUCAUUGACUUUGAUUUGUCUAUUAUUGCUCAGGACAGAGCUAAUUUCGGCGGAAAACUCCAUCAUGAAAGUGCUAAGCUAUUGGACAAAGAAAGCAAAUGAAUAUGAUAGUCGUCUGAAUAGGUUUCGGAACAUAUUUGCAAUAAAUAAAUUGUCAACAACAAAAAAGGGGAAAUUUACAAACACCCUCGAAUUGCAUAGUCGUUAAAACUAAAUAUUUAAUAAAUGAACGAGUCACUUGGCAGUUGAA